CGGCCAAUUACAGCGCUCGUCCGACUAUAUUAAGCCAAUCAAGAACAGUUUAUCGCUCAGUCGUCAGUCUGCAGUUGUGAUGCGUGUGUCGUGCGCGUGUUUUUCCUUCUUCUCUCUUCUCAAAUGAUUCUUAAACAUUGUGAAACAAACGAAUCGCGUGAAAGAAAGAAAAAAAAAAGAAAGAAGAGGAACGUUUGUCACGAAUUGCUCGUGAUUGUCUGCUAUUUUUUUUUAACGUUUAAUCGUUCAGUGAUUCAGAUCGCCUUUCAUUUACCUCUUUUAGGCGCGGUGAUUUUUUUUCGCAAACAUUUAAAAUUGCUUGACUGAGUCCGAACAAUAUCGAAGUCGCAGUUUGUUUAAUUGAAUUUUGAAUAUUUCGUUAUUUGCAGUUAUUCGUCGAACGUGCGGGGAAGAACUGUGUAAAAAAAACGCAAGAGAAGCACGUGAAAGAGCUUGGAAUGAUAUGCAUUUUAUUAUAUACGGCCUGUACGAUAAGCUUAUUCAUUUCUAGUGACGGUUUGUAUUUCGAUUUUGUAAGAUUGCUUUUUUGUGAUUAACGUGUAUUUUCUCUCUUUGUUAACUUUUCAUUGAUCGAUUGAACUUGAAAUAAUUCGAUAGUCUUCUCGAAACUCCUGUUCGAAACAACAGUGUGGUGUUACUGAAAGAUUUCGACAAUAUUCGAACAACGUUAAAAGAACUUGAAUGAAUGAACGUCGAAUUAUUCCGAAGAAUUAUGUAGCUACACCGACUUGUUACAUUAAUAAGUGCGAAAGAAUGCAUCAAUGGAUACUAGUGUCAAAUAGAAGUUAGAGGUCAUGAGAUUUCCUCCAAUUGUUCAAUCAAGUCAGACUAUUUUAUUUCUUUGAACACCAUGUGCAGCCAACUUCACAUCAAUAUACAAACGUCGAUACAGUAUUUCGUAAAAACUUUCAAGUAUCACUGAUCACGUGCUUCACACCGUAGGAAAUUCAUUGUUUAGCAGUCCACCGCAAUGAGGUUCCGAUUGCACGCGUUAGAUAUACAUAUAUAACAGAAGCAUAUUCUUAUUUCUCUCAUAAAUACAUUCACCGUCACGCAAACAAAAUUAACUCUUAAGCUAUCUCCGAUGAAUAUUCUACUACUAAUAUAAGAGUUCCGAGAAACGUUGAUCUAAUAAAAUUAGUCGAAGCUAACGAAAUUUCAUCCACAUAGCUGAUCGAUCGGCUUUUCUUUUUUCGAUUGUUCAGUCUAGAAAUCAGAUUGCAUGAGUCACUUUUCUACCUCUGUAUCCGCAAAUUAGAUAGAAUUUUUCGAAGUAUAUUUUCCUCGCUUACAACAUCUGAGAAAUGAGAUCAUAUGUGACCACACGCAUAACAACCUCGCAAAAGUAUCGUUUCAAUCUGACACUCGAUGAAACGCAUAGAAGUCUCGAGAAGAAACAAGGAGAAAAAGAAGACGAAUGCGAUAUCCUCGCGUAACAAUCGCGGAAACGAUAAAAGAGACGAAAACUCCCAUGAAAACAAGUGACUUCUCUUGCAUUGCCAAGAAUGUGUUAGAGGCACGACGACUUCGUUGUUUAACAGAUUGCCAUGAAAGGAAACGUAAUUGGAGACAUUUUGUUAUUCUGAAAAUAUAACGGCACGCAGUAUGCGUUGGUUAGACUUUAUCGUCGUGACUUCUUGACCCCUCUCGAAUGAUAGUAUAAAACACGAGAAACGGGAGCCUCGAAGAAAAUCGAGUUCCUAGAAUUCAAAUAUAACUAAACUUUCAAACAAAGAUCCUUCAAUGAGAGAGAAUGUAAUAAAAUUUUUCUUCGCUUUCUUUCUUCUAUAUUUCGCUCGCGUUCUGCGUUUCGUUUGAGAAUGACAUAACCUCUAUGCAUUAAAAAUUAUAGUCGCUGCAGAAAAAUCGUAAAAUAUGUUGAUCUUGUUUCGAAACGCGUCGUUCUUAAAAUAGAAUAUUUUCGGUCGCGGAGCUGAAACAGAGGUCAUGCUUUUCAAGGCCCCGCGAAUUUUUAUACAAAACACCGCCUGUGUUUCUCGAGUAAUAGUCAACUUUUUCAAGUAUUAUCUCAAAGGCGAAGAAGGGCUCGAGUUUUUGCCAUUUGAAGAGUAUUUCCUUCGUUCGUUUCUUGGAAUUCCUCCUCUGCUCGUUCUGUCAUCCACCCACAAUUUGCGCAUCGUAGCCUAAUAAAUUGACGAGUUAUUUCACGAAUACCCAGAGGGAGCCGACAUUAACAGAAAUUAGCGUUAAUUGAUGGUAUUCUCCUUCCCUUUUCGUCCUCCUCGUUUUUCUCUCUUGCCCUCUCUACUUUCCAGAUGAUCUCGCGAUCUCCUUCCCUUUCCUAUGAAUCUCGUAUCUCAUUUUUGCAUAGUACACCGUUUGUACUUUAUCAUUUUUGCUCGUCCCCUUUCUCUUUUAUUCCAACCAUCUUUUUUUUUUUUUUUUCGUAGCAUAUAUACUCUCUCAUUUGGCGCAUCCGAGUCGACGAACAUCGAAAAAACAAUUCACUGAAAGUACGCACGAACGUUGUAUGUGAAACAUGCGGCAGCAGAAGACGGCCACGCGUCCAGCUGAAUCUGCAACAGCCGCAACAUCGAAGUAAUCCUCUUUGGCUUAUGACGACUUUGCAUUUUUAACGCAAACAGUUUGAAACAAACCUCAUGCUGUGUUCUUACUGUUUCAAGUAUGAGACGAGUCGAAGAAAAACGGAUUGUUUGAAUUGUUUUUCUAAGUUUCGAUAGUAUAUGAAUGUUCUGUCUGAAGUUCCGGAGCAGUUCCAUGGAAAAAAUUGUUCGCCAACCUCGAGUUAUGCCAUGGAGGCGAACGAUGAAUACGGUGUUUGAUGAAACGAGAGGCGUUAAGUAGGGUCGCGGGGCAAAGAAAUCAAAGAUUCGAUUGUAGACUCUCCCUCUCUGUCGUGCGUGUAUACAUUUCCGUACGCGAUAUUACUUCCAAUCCUUCGUUUCUUUGCUCCGAUUUCAUUCUCGAUUUUUUUUUUUUUUUUCACAUCGAAACAGUUUAUUAUAUAUUUUAUUUUAAGGACCAAAAUGAUGUACCUAUCUUCCUAUUUUGCAGUACAAUUUAUCUGAAAAGAAAAAUCUAAUUUACUCUACGGUGUUUCAAUUGCAACUAAUUGAACGCGCUAAUUGAAAUUGUCAAUAUAAUGCUUAUGCAGUUCUAGGAUAUCUUCGGAAGCAUUUUUGAUACAUAUGGAUAUAAUGCUUGUGCAGUUCUAGGACAUUCUUCGGAAGCAGGCUAAAUUAUGUGUGGGAAGCAUACAAAUUUUCAAAACAGAAGCAACAAGUUUCAGUCCGGGACGAAAGCUCAACGUAAAGCACGAAAUUUUUUCGGAGACGAGCAAAGGAAGAAUGAACAGAGGCUGAAAUAGUGGGCGACUUUAAUGACUACUCGAGGUCGCUUCAAUGAGUACUACUGUGUGUCAUUGCAUCAUUAUAGUGUGUACGAUAUAUAGUGUACAGUGUACGGUACCACGUCCGGACUAAUAAUUAUAACAUAUAUCUUUUAUUGUCCGCACCGUUUUGUAAUGAUUUUAUCAGUAUAAGUAUCAGUUUUAUACGAUGAGAUUUUCCUUUGUUUCUUCUUCUUCCUUCUUUUUAAUUAAAAUUCUUGACUAAUUUAGUAUCAAAUAGAUAUUAAUUAAAAUAUUUCAAUUAUAAUUAAAAUUUUUGACUAAUGUAAUGUCAAAUAGAUAUAACCGUAAUAAAUCAGAUAUUUAUAAUUAAAGGGGGAAAAAAUUUAAUAAUUAGAUUCAAUAAUUAUGUAGAAAAAUGUUGCAAGCAAGGAUGUUUGUAAGAUAUAUUUCAUAAAUAGACUUAACUCAAUUGACUUAAGACUUCUAUCCCUUUCAUAAAAUGAUUGCAGUGUGCAUGCAGUGAAUGUGUCAUGCAAUAUCUAUGAACUACCGUAUUCUUCUGCCGAUUAUCUAAUCUCGCGCUAAAUUAUAACGAAACGUGGGCACUUUAUAUUAAAAUCUCUCCUUUGGCCUGUUUAAUUGUCUAUUAAUCGAUAAAUUCAAUUUUACUUACCUAAUUAAAAACUUAAAUUAACAAUUCGAAACAAUUCAAAAUGUAAGAAAUAAGUAAUUAAUUUUAUAAUAAUUUAUAGGGGUAUGUCACCAUUGCGUCAUCAAGAUUGUAUGGCUAUCAUAACAACGGAAGGACCACGAUACAUCGGAAGUUAAUCCUGUCUUGUUCAUAAGUACUAGUGCCGCAGGAGUGACUAGGUUGGGUUAAAAAUUGCCAUAUCUCCUGCUGCUCAAGUGCUUAUCAAUGGGUCCGGACUCACAUCUAUCUUUCAAAUCGUGUAUUGAAAUAAAAACCUGUUUAAAAUGAAAUUUUACAGAUAUCACCUAAAUGUACAAUGUAAAAGAAAUUAUAAUUUGCGUAUAUUAAUGUAAUAAUAAUGAAUAAAUAUUCUAUUUCAUAUU